CCUACGGGGUGCAGCAGUGGGGAAUAUUGGACAAUGGGCGAAAGCCUGAUGCAGCCAUGCCGCGUGUGUGAAGAAGGCCUUCGGGUUGUAAAGCACUUUCAGUGGGGAAGAAAGCCUUGGGGCUAAUACCCUCGAGGAAGGACAUCACCCACAGAAGAAGCACCGGCUAACUCCGUGCCAGCAGCCGCGGUAAUACGGAGGGUGCGAGCGUUAAUCGGAAUUACUGGGCGUAAAGCGCGCGUAGGCGGUCUGAUAAGCCGGUUGUGAAAGCCCCGGGCUCAACCUGGGAACGGCAUCCGGAACUGUCAGGCUAGAGUGCAGGAGAGGAAGGUAGAAUUCCCGGUGUAGCGGUGAAAUGCGUAGAGAUCGGGAGGAAUACCAGUGGCGAAGGCGGCCUUCUGGACUGACACUGACGCUGAGGUGCGAAAGCGUGGGUAGCAAACAGGAUUAGAUACCCGAGUAGUC
rnacentral:rRNA from 1 species